AACGAACGCUGGCGGCAUGCCUAACACAUGCCAGUCGAACGAGACCUUCGGGUCUAGUGGCGCACGGGUGCGUAACGCGUGGGAACCUGCCCUUAGGUUCGGAAUAACUCCCCGAAAGGGGUGCUAAUACCGGAUAAUGUCUUCGGACCAAAGAUUUAUCGCCUUUGGAUGGGCCCGCGUUGGAUUAGCUAGUUGGUAGGGUAAAAGCCUGCCAAGGCGACGAUCCAUAGCUGGUCUGAGAGGAUGAUCAGCCACACUGGGACUGAGACACGGCCCAGACUCCUACGGGAGGCAGCAGUGGGGAAUAUUGGACAAUGGGCGAAAGCCUGAUCCAGCAAUGCCGCGUGAGUGAUGAAGGCCUUAGGGUUGUAAAGCUCUUUUACCCGGGAUGAUAAUGACAGUACCGGGAGAAUAAGCGCCGGCUAACUCCGUG
rnacentral:rRNA from 1 species